UUUUUUUUUUUUGUAGAGAAAAAAUAGAGAAAACUAUGUUGCCUAGGCUGGUCUCAGACUUCUGGGCUCAAGCGAUCCUCUUGCCUCAACCUACUAAGAUGCUACAAUUACAGGCGUAAGCCUCUGCCCCCAGCCUACAAGGAGAGCAAAAUUUGAAGAAAGCUGGGAAUGGUAAAUCCUUCUGCUAGGAAUGAAUGCUUAAUGGAAUAAGGAAAACUCCAAAUAAGUGCCCAGGAACAUCCCCGUGGAAAGGAGGGGUCAUGUCAGCCAGCUCCAAGACCUUCUCAACUCAUUCCUCCUUCUCAACUUGCUUGGUAGCUGAGCCCAGCUUUCUUCCCUCUGAGGCCAAAUCCUACAUCCUCUGCCACCCCUGUAUCCUUUCUAUCUGUGGUUCUUCCCAGCUCCAUGGAACGUGAGAGCGAAAGCCUGCAGCCAUCUCGCCCCCUGGCUCCUCGUCCCUCUAGGUACCCAGUGAGUCAGGACAACCCUGUGCUCUCCUCACCUGCUCCUCACAGCAGCUGCAGGCACCCUCCUUGGACACCGCUGUCUUCCCUGGACCAAGGUCAUGGCUGGUCUGUUCAUCUCACAGCUCAUAUGACCACACCUGCAGCAGCGGAGGUAGGUGUAGAAUUGUGGCACCUCAGAUGGAGCCAAAGUGGGGAGCACUUACCUAAAACAAGACUGUUUUAGGUGGAUGUAGCCAUAUGAUUGUGGGCAUGUUAUGUAACCACUUCAUGCUUCAGUUUCCUCAUCUGUAAAAUGGGGAUAAUAAAGCAUCUGCCUCACAAAGUGACUGAGGAGGGGAAAUGAGUUCAUAUGCGUACAAGGCAUGAGUUCAACGUUUGUGAGCUACCAUUGUCAUGAAAACCAAUUUUAGCAUUUUAUUUGCAGCUGUGAGUUUAUUUUACACUUGAUCUUAGCCAGAAUGCUAAGAAGUGAUGGUUAUGAGUUUAUUUUAAUAUGACCUACAGAAAAUUUAAAAUGACCUACGGAAAAUUACAAUCAAGCUCAUAAUUUGGCAGACCUUAUUGUUUAGGUCAAAGCUAAGUAAACAAAUCAAUGUAAACAUAUUUAAAGAACAUAAAUAAAUACUAGUGUAGGUGAUAGGCUAGUGUGUCAUGAAUUGCCAAGAUGGGGCACACAGACUAUUUGGGAGCUAUUGAUCUAGUCUGAGCCCUCUAGUUCUAUAAGGAGGAAACUCUAAACAGGAAGUAGUGAGCUGAGACCUUGGUCAACAAUGUAGUCACCGGCUGGGUUGGGACCAGACAGUUGCCCCAUGCCCUGUCCUCCCUGUCCUGUCAUUCUGCCCCCUCAACAGACUCAUCAAGGUCACAUUUAAAUAAGUACACACAAAAGCAGCUUAUGCAUAGACAGCUUGUCAUCAGACAGGAUCACACGUAACACCCAGGUCAAAUCCUCUGCCAUGUCAAACAAGAUAAUCCCAUGGAGUAAAAGCAACUCCUUUACAAAACAGGGUCAGGUGCUACUUUCUGACUCCAGGGUCAGAGAGGCUGGUGGAACUGGCUUCUCUGGCUCUGCCACUUCUUAACUGCGUGCUAUGAUUUGGAUGUUCAUUCCCCCAAAUCUCAUGCUGAAAUUGGAUCCCAGUGGUGGAGGUAAGGCCUAGUGGGAGGUGUUUGGAUCAUGGGGUGGAUCCCUCAUGAAUGGCUUGGUAACCUAUCCCUCAAGAGCUGGUUGUCAAAAGGAGCUUGGCACCUCCCCUCUCUCUCUUGCUCCCUCUCACACCAUGGGAUCUCUGAACAUGCCAGCUCCUCUUUGCCCUCUACCAUGAGUGGAAGCAGCCUGAAGCCCUCACCAGUAGCCAGUGCUAGUACCAUGUUUCUUGUAUAGCCUGCAGAACCAUGAGCCAAAUAAACCGCUUUUCUGUAUAAAUUACCCAGCCUCGCAUAUUACUUUAUAGCAAUACAAACAGAUUAACACACCAUGUAACCUUGGAAAUGUUGCUUAAUCUCUCUGUGCUUCUGUUUUCAGAUGUACAAACUGAGAUAAGAGGUGGUAAAUCUAGUGCACAGAAUGUGAGGAUUAAAUGUGAGUUUCCUUUCUUCUUCCUCUAAGAGCAAGAGCAAGUACCUCCCGCCAAAGAUAUGGGAGAAUCCUUACGUAGGAAGCUCUUUAUCUAUCUGUGAGUUCACCCAUCACUCUCUGACUACAAAACCUUCAGCCACUCCCUGUUUCUUACCACUGCAAAUCUGCAGGCCUCAACAAUGUGGCCCCUUCCCAUCAAGCCAACUUUAUCUCCUUGGUCCCUAACACUUGUCCUAGCAUAUCCCAUGCUCCCUCAUGGCCCCAUGGACAAGAUGCAUCCAUACUGACUCCCAACCCCUGUACCAUUUUCUUCCCCACAUUGGUGUAUAGACUGAUCUUGCAAAAACCCACAUCUAAUU
rnacentral:lncRNA from 10 species